UUUUUCCUUUCACGUAACCGAGUUACAACCUAGGAAAACUUCCUAAUGAUUACGAGAAAGUACUUUAUAUUCCUCGUAGGUAACUGCUUGAAAGAUAGAUAGGUAUGGUAUUAUCAACCUCUUUUGAUAUCAUGGCACUCAACAUUCAUUAUAUAACUGACGUUUUCAUAACACCUAGCACGGUACCGCUACAACCGGGCAUAACUUUGCAACUCAAAUAUAAUGAACUAAGCGUAGACUAACUCCUAAUACUUUCUGUUGCCCUGGUACUUUUCACUCUUUUCUCACCAAGAAAUUCGUCACCAUGUCUUCAAUUACAAAAAAAUAAUAUGGUAUAGGUCCUAGGUAAAGCAUGGGUCCGGAUCACUCAUCGUUUCAUAAGAGUAUUAUUUUAUUCCUUACUGGAUACUAGUUACGAACAAUCAUACAGGUAUCAGUAAAGGUAAAAACCCUAUUACUUGGAUACCAGUAUCCUAUGAAGAUCUGUUUUUAUUUUUAUGUAACUGGUUACAAAACUCCGGUUACAUACGCGGCCGA